rnacentral:lncRNA from 1 species
CCGGGCAGAGGGUCACCAUCUCUUGUUCUGGAAGCAGCUCCAACAUCGGAAGUAAUACUGUAAACUGGUACCAGCAGCUCCCAGGAACGGCCCCCAAACUCCUCAUCUAUAGUAAUAAUCAGCGGCCCUCAGGGGUCCCUGACCGAUUCUCUGGCUCCAAGUCUGGCACCUCAGCCUCCCUGGCCAUCAGUGGGCUCCAGUCUGAGGAUGAGGCUGAUUAUUACUGUGCAGCAUGGGAUGACAGCCUGAAUGGUCCCACAGUGCUCCAGGCCAAUGGGGAA